rnacentral:rRNA from 1 species
AGCGGACGCUGGCGGCAGGCCUAACACAUGCAAGUCGAACGGAUCCUUCGGGAUUAGUGGCGGACGGGUGAGUAACACGUGGGAACGUGCCCUUUGGUUCGGAACAACUCAGGGAAACUUGAGCUAAUACCGGAUGUGCCCUUCGGGGGAAAGAUUUAUCGCCAUUGGAGCGGCCCGCGUCUGAUUAGCUAGUUGGUGAGGUAACGGCCCACCAAGGCGACGAUCAGUAGCUGGUCUGAGAGGAUGAUCAGCCACACUGGGACUGAGACACGGCCCAGACUCCUACGGGAGGCAGCAGUGGGGAAUCUUGCGCAAUGGGCGAAAGCCUGACGCAGCCAUGCCGCGUGAAUGAUGAAGGUCUUAGGAUUGUAAAAUUCUUUCAGCGGGGACGAUAAUGACGGUACCCGCAGAAGAAGCGCCGGCUAACUUCGUG